rnacentral:rRNA from 1 species
GACAGAGGUGCCGAGCGUUAGGCGGAAUCACUGGGCUUAAAGAGCGUGUAGGCGGGUCGUUAAGUCUCUUGUGAAAUCCCACCGCUCAACGGUGGAACUGCUGGGCAUACUGGCGAUCUUGAGCCACCUAGGGGCAGACGGAACAAGCGGUGGAGCGGUGAAAUGCGUAGAUAUCGCUUGGAACGCCGACGGUGAAAACAGUCUGCUGGGGGUGUGCUGACGCUGAGACACGAAAGCCAGGGGAGCGAACGGG